rnacentral:rRNA from 1 species
GACGAACGCGGGCGGCGUGCCUAAUACAUGCAAGUAGAACGCUGAAGAGAGGAGCUUGCUCUUCUUGGAUGAGUUGCGAACGGGUGAGUAACGCGUAGGUAACCUGCCUUGUAGCGGGGGAUAACUAUUGGAAACGAUAGCUAAUACCGCAUAACAAUGAGUGACACAUGUCAUUUAUUUGAAAGGGGCAAUUGCUCCACUACAAGAUGGACCUGCGUUGUAUUAGCUAGUAGGUGAGGUAACGGCUCACCUAGGCGACGAUACAUAGCCGACCUGAGAGGGUGAUCGGCCACACUGGGACUGAGACACGGCCCAGACUCCUACGGGAGGCAGCAGUAGGGAAUCUUCGGCAAUGGGGGCAACCCUGACCGAGCAACGCCGCGUGAGUGAAGAAGGUUUUCGGAUCGUAAAGCUCUGUUGUAAGUCAAGAACGAGUGUGAGAGUGGAAAGUUCACACUGUGACGGUAGCUUACCAGAAAGGGACGGCUAACUACGUGCCAGCAGCCGCGGUAAUACGUAGGUCCCGAGCGUUGUCCGGAUUUAUUGGGCGUAAAGCGAGCGCAGGCGGUUUGAUAAGUCUGAAGUUAAAGGCUGUGGCUCAACCAUAGUUCGCUUUGGAAACUGUCAAACUUGAGUGCAGAAGGGGAGAGUGGAAUUCCAUGUGUAGCGGUGAAAUGCGUAGAUAUAUGGAGGAACACCGGUGGCGAAAGCGGCUCUCUGGUCUGUAACUGACGCUGAGGCUCGAAAGCGUGGGGAGCGAACAGG